rnacentral:tRNA from 1 species
GGCUCAGUUUGGUAGAGCGCUGCGUUCGGGACGCAGAGGCCGCAGGUUCAAAUCCUGUC